GAUGAACGCUAGCGGGAGGCUUAACACAUGCAAGUCGAGGGGCAUCACGAGGUAGCAAUACUUUGGUGGCGACCGGCGCACGGGUGAGUAACGCGUAUGCAACCUACCCUGUACAGGGGGAUAACCCGGAGAAAUUCGGACUAAUAUCCCGUAAUAAUAUCCGGAGGCAUCUUUGGAUAUUUAAAGUUUCGACGGUACGGGAUGGGCAUGCGUAACAUUAGCUGGUUGGUAAGGUAACGGCUUACCAAGGCUAUGAUGUUUAGGGGUCCUGAGAGGGUGGUCCCCCACACUGGUACUGAGACACGGACCAGACUCCUACGGGAGGCAGCAGUGAGGAAUAUUGGUCAAUGGGCGCAAGCCUGAACCAGCCAUCCCGCGUGCAGGAAGACGGCCCUAUGGGUUGUAAACUGCUUUUCCAGGGAGAGAAACUUACGCACGUGUUGCGUGACUGACGGUACCCUGGGAAUAAGCAUCGGCUAACUCCGUG
rnacentral:rRNA from 1 species